UAGUAAGUUUCCUCCAAAUUCGCUGCUUUAUGUACCUAAAGGAGGUGCAAAAAUGCUUUAGGAGAAAUCAUGAGGCACGUGUAUGCUUUUGAGGUGAGCUGUCUCCAUAUUGUUCCUUCUUGUUUCCCUCUUAGAUGGGUCUAUCCUUGAAGGGGCAAGCAUUUUGGCAAAUUGAAUUACAGUAAUGCUUGUAAAGAUGAGAAUCUUUCAGUACUUGAUUAUCAAUGCAUUUAAUCACACAAAAUUCAUAUAACUAAGAAAAUCUCUGACUUGGAAGAGCUUCAGUCUCAUAAAUCCUGACUGUGACCAAAUUUCAACAUCCGUACAAUAGACAACUAUCAUUACAUCCAAGAAACUUCACAUGCUAUGUUUAAGCCACAUCUGGAUCAUCAAUCGGACUAAAAUACCCUUUUCAUAUAUGGAUUAACAGUAGAAAACAGACUAUACAAUGUACAAAGAUUAUGUGCAUUGUCCUAGCAGCACGUUUCCGAGUGGUUUCUCCAAGAAAAAUUAGUAGUCAAUCGUAUGAACAUAGAAAGCAUAAAUACUCUCACAUUAACAAAUAGCUAGUACUCUGGACAACAGGAAUUUGCAGAUUGGUUGAAAUGCCAUUUAAGAAUGCUCUAUUAUUCAAUGUUGAAAACUGCUUUGGUUAAAUAAAGUUCAUCCUUGGCCUGUAGAGAUGGAAAAACACGAUAAAGCUCCAUCUUGAUUUUCUCGCCAGCGGGGCACCCAACAGAUACAGGACCAAGGACCAAGGAACAACAUAAAAGUAAAAAAUAAAUAAUAAAUGAGAAAAAGAAUAAUUAGCAAACCAAAUAAACAAGCAAAUCUUAUACUGAGUUACUAACAGAGCAGCUACAAACAAUUUCUGCACCUCAUGUGCAUUGAAAGAUUCGC